rnacentral:rRNA from 1 species
UACAGAGGUCCCAAGCGUUGUUCGGAUUCAUUGGGCGUAAAGGGUGCGUAGGCGGUGGGGUAAGUUGGAUGUGAAACCUUGGGGCUUAACCUCAAAAUUGCAUUCAAUACUGCUCCGCUCGAGUUCUGUAGAGGAGAUUGGAAUUUACGGUGUAGCAGUGAAAUGCGUAGAUAUCGUAAGGAACGCCAGUGGCGAAAGCGAAUCUCUGGGCAGCAACUGACGCUGAGGCACGAAGGCCAGGGGAGCAAACGGG